rnacentral:rRNA from 1 species
UACGCAAGGGGCUAGCGUUGUUCGGAAUUACUGGGCGUAAAGCGCACGUAGGCGGCCUUGUAAGUUGGGGGUGAAAUCCCGGAGCUCAACUCCGGAACUGCCUUCAAGACUGCAAAGCUCGAGGACGCGAGAGGUUAGCGGAAUUCCGAGUGUAGAGGUGAAAUUCGUAGAUAUUCGGAAGAACACCAGUGGAGAAGGCGGCUAACUGGCGCGUUUCUGACGCUGAGGUGCGCAAGCGUGGGGAGCAAACAGG